UACGGAGGGUGCAAGCGUUAUCCGGAUUUAUUGGGUUUAAAGGGUACGUAGGCGGUGGAGUAAGUCAGUGGUGAAAGCCAACAGCUCAACUGUUGAACUGCCAUUGAUACUGCUUCACUUGAGUGCAGUUGAGGUGGGUGGAAAUUCCAUGUGUAACGGUGAAAUGCUUAGAUAUAUGGAGGAACACCGAUAACGAAGGUAACUCACUAAACUGUAACUGACGCUGAGGUACGAAAGCGUGGGGAGCAAACGGG
rnacentral:rRNA from 1 species